UACGUAGGGGGCAAGCGUUGUCCGGAUUUAUUGGGCGUAAAGAGCGUGUAGGCGGCCAGAUAGGUCAGCUGUGAAAACUCGAGGCUCAACCUCGAGAUGUCGGCUGAAACCAUCUGGCUAGAGUCCGGAAGAGGAGAAUGGAAUUCCUGGUGUAGCGGUGAAAUGCGCAGAUAUCAGGAAGAACACCCGUGGCGAAGGCGGUUCUCUGGGACGGUACUGACGCUGAGACGCGAAAGCGUGGGGAGCAAACAGG
rnacentral:rRNA from 1 species